rnacentral:rRNA from 1 species
GACGAACGCUGGCGGCGUGCCUAAUACAUGCAAGUAGAACGCUGAAGGGAGGAGCUUGCUCUUCUUGGAUGAGUUGCGAACGGGUGAGUAACGCGUAGGUAACCUGCCUUGUAGCGGGGGAUAACUAUUGGAAACGAUAGCUAAUACCGCAUAACAAUGGAUGACCCAUGUCAUUUAUUUGAAAGGGGCAAAUGCUCCACUACAAGAUGGACCUGCGUUGUAUUAGCUAGUAGGUGAGGUAACGGCUCACCUAGGCGACGAUACGUAGCCGACCUGAGAGGGUGAUCGGCCACACUGGGACUGAGACACGGCCCAGACUCCUACGGGAGGCAGCAGUAGGGAAUCUUCGGCAAUGGGGGCAACCCUGACCGAGCAACGCCGCGUGAGUGAAGAAGGUUUUCGGAUCGUAAAGCUCUGUUGUAAGUCAAGAACGAGUGUGAGAGGGAAAGUUCACA